rnacentral:rRNA from 1 species
UGGGGAAUAUUGCACAAUGGGCGCAAGCCUGAUGCAGCCAUGCCGCGUGUAUGAAGAAGGCCUUCGGGUUGUAAAGUACUUUCAGCGAGGAGGAAGGCGUUGUGGUUAAUAACCGCAGCGAUUGACGUUACUCGCAGAAGAAGCACCGGCUAACUCCGUGCCAGCAGCCAGCGGUAAUACGGAGGGUGCAAGCGUUAAUCGGAAUUACUGGGCGUAAAGCGCACGCAGGCGGUCUGUCAAGUCGGAUGUGAAAUCCCCGGGCUCAACCUGGGAACUGCAUCCGAAACUGGCAGGCUAGAGUCUUGUAGAGGGGGUAGAAUUCCAGGUGUAGCGGUGAAAUUGCGUAGAGAUCUGGAGGAAUACCGGUGGCGAAGGCGGCCCCCUGGACAAAGACUGACGCUCAGGUGCGAAAGCGUGGGAGCAAACA